rnacentral:rRNA from 1 species
UACGUAGGGCGCAAGCGUUGUCCGGAAUCAUUGGGCGUAAAGAGCUCGUAGGCGGCCUGUCGCGUCCGCUGUGAAAUCCCGGGGCUUAACCCCGGGCGUGCAGUGGAUACGGGCUGGCUGGAGGCAGGCAGGGGAGAACGGAAUUCCCGGUGUAGCGGUGAAAUGCGCAGAUAUCGGGAGGAACACCAAUGGCGAAGGCAGCUCGCUGGGACGGUACUGACGCUGAGGCGCGAAAGCGUGGGGAGCAAACAGG